UACGUAGGGUGCAAGCGUUGUCCGGAAUUAUUGGGCGUAAAGGGCUCGUAGGCGGUCCAUCGCGUCGGGAGUGAAAAGCUGGGGCUUAACCCCAGUCCUGCUUUCGAUACGGGUGGACUAGAGGUAGGCAGGGGAGAACGGAAUUCCUGGUGUAGCGGUGAAAUGCGCAGAUAUCAGGAGGAACACCGGUGGCGAAGGCGGUUCUCUGGGCCUGUUCUGACGCUGAGGAGCGAAAGCAUGGGGAGCGAACAGG
rnacentral:rRNA from 1 species